rnacentral:rRNA from 1 species
GAUGAACGCUGGCGGCGUGCCUAAUACAUGCAAGUCGAGCGAACAGACGAGGAGCUUGCUCCUCUGACGUUAGCGGCGGACGGGUGAGUAACACGUGGAUAACCUACCUAUAAGACUGGGAUAACUUCGGGAAACCGGAGCUAAUACCGGAUAACAUGUUGAACCGCAUGGUUCAACAGUGAAAGACGGUCUUGCUGUCACUUAUAGAUGGAUCCGCGCCGCAUUAGCUAGUUGGUAAGGUAACGGCUUACCAAGGCAACGAUGCGUAGCCGACCGGAGAGGGUGAUCGGCCACACUGGAACUGAGACACGGUCCAGACUCCUACGGGAGGCAGCAGUAGGGAAUCUUCCGCAAUGGGCGAAAGCCUGACGGAGCAACGCCGCGUGAGUGAAGAAGGUCUUCGGAUCGUAAAACUCUGUUAUUAGGGAAGAACAAAUGUGUAAGUAACUAUGCACGUCUUGACGGUACCUAAUCAGAAAGCCACGGCUAACUACGUG